rnacentral:sRNA from 1 species
CCUCAGCGACCCGACCGCCUGCCCGAUUCCUGGGCAUGGCACCAAUCCCAUCGUGACUGGCUCUGGUGAUGU